rnacentral:rRNA from 1 species
UACGUAGGGGCCAAGCGUUGUCCGGAUUUAUUGGGCGUAAAGAGCUCGUAGGCGGUUUGUCGCGUCGGCCGUGAAAUCUCCACGCUUAACGUGGAGCGUGCGGUCGAUACGGGCAGACUUGAGUUCGGUAGGGGAGACUGGAAUUCCUGGUGUAGCGGUGAAAUGCGCAGAUAUCAGGAGGAACACCGGUGGCGAAGGCGGGUCUCUGGGCCGAUACUGACGCUGAGGAGCGAAAGCCAGGGGAGCAAACGGG